UUACGGCCAUAUCACACUGAAACACCAGUUCCCGUACGAUCACUAAAGUUAAGCAACGUCAGGCUUGGUUAAUACCUAGAUGGAUGAUCGCUUGGGAAUACCAAGUA